ACGCAUAUCAAUAAGCGGAGGAAAAGAAACCAACCGGGAUUGCCUUAGUAACGGCGAGUGAAGCGGCAAAAGCUCAAAUUUGAAAUCUAGUACCUUCGGUGCUCGAGUUGUAAUUUGUAGAGGGAUACUUUGGGGCCGUUCCUUGUCUAUGUUCCUUGGAACAGGACGUCAUAGAGGGUGAGAAUCCCGUGUGGCGAGGAGUGCGGUUCUAUGUAAAGUGCCUUCGAAGAGUCGAGUUGUUUGGGAAUGCAGCUCUAAGUGGGUGGUAAAUUCCAUCUAAAGCUAAAUAUUGGCGAGAGACCGAUAGCGAACAAGUACAGUGAUGGAAAGAUGAAAAGAACUUUGAAAAGAGAGUGAAAAAGUACGUGAAAUUGUUGAAAGGGAAGGGCAUUUGAUCAGACAUGGUGUUUUGCGCCCUCUGCUCCUUGUGGGUGGGGGAAUCUCGCAGCUCACUGGGCCAACAUCAGUUUUGGUGGUCGGAUAAAUCCGUAGGAAUGUGGCUUGCCUCGGCAAGUGUUAUAGCCUGCGGGAAUACGGGCCAGCUGGGACUGAGGACUGCGACUUUUGUCAAGGGUGGUUGCAUAAUGGUUAUAUGCCGCCCGUCUUGGAACACGGACCCCUGGGUGGAAUUGUUAUCGGC
rnacentral:rRNA from 1 species